GAAUAUUGGACAAUGGGCGCAAGCCUGAUCCAGCCAUGCCGCGUGAGUGAAGAAGGCCCUCGGGUUGUAAAGCUCUUUUGUCCGGAAAGAAAAGCUUUCGGUUAAUACCCGGAAGUCAUGACGGUACCGGAAGAAUAAGCACCGGCUAACUUCGUGCCAGCAGCCGCGGUAAUACGAAGGGUGCAAGCGUUACUCGGAAUUACUGGGCGUAAAGCGUGCGUAGGUGGUUCGUUAAGUCUGAUGUGAAAGCCCUGGGCUCAACCUGGGAAUUGCAUUGGAUACUGGCGGGCUAGAGUGCGGUAGAGGAUGGCGGAAUUCCCGGUGUAGCAGUGAAAUGCGUAGAGAUCGGGAGGAACAUCCGUGGCGAAGGCGGCCAUCUGGACCAACACUGACACUGAGGCACGAAAGCGUGGGGAGCAAACAG
rnacentral:rRNA from 1 species